AACGUAGGAGACAAACGUUAUCCGGAGUUACUGGCGUAAAGGGCGUGUAGGUGGUUGCGUAAGUCUGGCGUGAAAUUUUUCGGCUUAACCGGGAAAGGUCGUCGGAUACUGCGUAACUAGAGGACGGUAGAGGCGUGUGGAAUUCCGGGUGUAGUGGUGAAAUGCGUAGAGAUCCGGAGGAACACCAGUGGCGAAGGCGACACGCUGGGCCGUACCUGACACUGAACCGCGACAGCAUGGGGAGCAAACAGG
rnacentral:rRNA from 1 species